CUGAUCUGCUCCACCCCUUACUCACCUGCUCCUCAUCAGCUAAUCAGCCCCCUCAGUAUUUAUACUGAGCCUGUUCCCUCAGUUCUUUGCCAGAUUGUCUAGUGUGUUUACUUAGCUCUCCAGCGUUCUGUAUUUUUUGAUUCUGAUCCUGCCUGCUUGUGAUUUGACCUGCCUUUUGGACUUUGGAUGCUCCCUCUUGCCUGCUCCCUUUGGAUUUGUUUGCCUCGCUGACUGAGUACCUGGUUUGACCCUCGCUUGAAAUUAAACUUAUUCUUUUGCAACUGAACUGUUUUCUUUGUGUCGUGCUAUUGGGUUCCUGCCUGCCAUUUUGUGAAGCCUGACAGACAUCACACUCGCGGUGGGUAGCUCAAGUGUCACACUGCACACCCAGUGAGCCUUGGAGCCAGUUGCCCAAGAGUUUGCCUGGGCUGAGACCUCGGAUCACAGGUGGAGUCACCACGGACGAAAAGGCUGAGCUCAACUGUAUUUAGUAGCCUGCUCUGAGUGUGAACUCAGCUGGACACCAAACUGGGACUGAACACAUCCUCCAAGGCCAACUGAGGUCAGGGGGACACAGUACUGAAAUGAUUUACAGCGGGGGUGACCAAGACUUGAGCGACUUCAAGACACAGCAGGAAUGGAUUAUUUAGGCUUUUUGCCAGUGGGCGGAGAAAACUGAAACCACAGCAAUCACAACAGGAAAGACUGCGGGGGAUCGAGGAGGGACUGUGACUUCCUGGAAGAGAGCGGGAAUCAGCCGAUACUGUCCACAGCCAAUAAUGGCAGACAGGCGGGUCACCGAGAGAACUGAGGGUACUGCAUCUUUCCUUCCACUCCGACAGAAGAUGAAAUUAGACCCGACUGACACUGUCUCUGCUCUGCCUGGUGUGUGUGCCUUCGGAGCCAGACUGACUGUAUUGAAGGAGCCAAGCUGACCUGCUGAUUCCAGAGUGGCAUAAUACACGCCUGACUGAAGCUUUCACCCUUACUCUCUGGGGACACAGAAGGGCAGCCGACUUCUCUUACACUUCCCCGCAGUGCUUUAUCUAUCAAUCAGGAUGUGUCCUACUUUGGAACACAGUGAAAGCUAAAGGCAAAGUCAAUAUGAUCGGCUCCUUCAAAAUGCUAUUUCAGGCCAGUGAUGUCUUCAAUGUCACUGGCUCAAAACGUAUGUGGAAAUGCUUCUGAGUUUGUAAGAACCUGCACAGAAACAAAUAUAUUCCAGCUUUGCAGGAAAAUUGUAUUAAACUAAAAAAGUGUACUAAACUGAUUUUCACAUACUUUUUUCCUGUCACUGUCUGAACUUUACCGGCAGUGAGACAUACAGUCAAUGUCACAACAACAAUAACGAAGCAUGUGGUGAAAC